UACGGCCACAUCAUUUUGAAGCACCAUUUCCCGUACGAUCACUGCAGUUAAGGAACGGUGAGUCUGGUCAGUACCUAUAUGGGUGAGCGUUUAGGAGUUCCAGGUGAUGUAAG